rnacentral:lncRNA from 1 species
UCUGGGCUCCUAUUCUAUAAUAACUGACAGAGUAAUUUUUCUCUCGGUCGUCAUCGAAUUUUUGGAGAACCCGAUGAGAGGAGUACUGACCCAUCUAAGCUGCUCGAUCAGGUUCAUUUUUGAGAAAACAUCAUAGAACAACACAUCAGCGAGCUUCCAUUAUCAAUAAAAAAUUUUUUUACAUCAUACUUUGCUAUCAUCAUAG